rnacentral:tRNA from 1 species
AUCUUUCUAGUAUUAAAAUAAGUGCAAGUGACUUCCAAUCACUAAGUCUUGGUGAAACGCCAAGGAAAGAUA